AUAAAAUAAAGUAUAAUAAGAGGUAGAGGCUUAAGGAAAUUAGUAAUUUUUACUGCUGCUUCAGGGUAAGAUAUGACACUCAGAAGCCAGAAGCAAAAGGCAGAGAUUAAAGAUAGGUUCUGUCUGCUUCAGCGUGACUACAACAGAAAGUCUGGAGGGAUUGCAAACCUAAGAUGAAUACCAGUCAGCAAAACAGUGCUGUUAUUUAAAAGCCUAACAUGGUAAUAUAUUAACGUAAAUAUGACAUGCCAAGCCCAGGAAGUAAGAUUUCGUUUCUACGGCACUGGUGAAGACCUUAUUAACGGAUAGUGUCUAGUUUUGUUCUCAACACUUUAGGGGAAUGUGGCAAAACUGGAGAGAGUCCAACAAAGAGCAACAAAAAUGAUAAAAAGCUGAAAAUAUGGAGGCAAGGAGAGUUGAAACAACUUGCCCGAAAUCCAAAACUGGCUGUCUCCAUUGGAACUCUGGGACCCGGUCUUUCUAGCAUAUUGCUUCCAUCCUGAAACAUGGUGACUGGUGGGGGGAUAUCAGAAACAUGGAUGAAUAUCACACCCAUUCUGCUAACGGGUAAAAAGAAGUCAGUUCAAACUUAUUACUAAAUAACUGUUUCAAAAAUGUAAAGUUGGAAAAUUAUAGUAUAAGAACAAGCAACAGAUUUAAAUCAUAGGAUUUAUCACCCAAAAUAUGUAUGCUUGCAUUUUUCUUUGCAUUGCAUUAAGAUGAAAGAAGAAACAUGUAGGUCAAACCCUACUACAAAGAGUAUCAUUAUCACAAAAUUUCAACCCAAAAGACAGAAGAAAUCAUAACCAGGUGCAAGAAUUAAGAACUUCAGAUUUGAUGACAGUAAAGAUUGUGGAAAACUUUUUAAACACUGUGGUAAAUUAAUUCUAAUUAAGCAUCAACCAAUUGCUUGUGGGGCUUCAGGAGUCAACCGCACUGAACACAAUAAGGGUGCAAAUACAAUUUAUGACUUGAUUGCUACUUCUAGUACUGAUGGCACACACCUAACUCUUAUGGGCUUCAUGAGAUGACUGAUGUCUUAAAUCUUAUUUUAUUCAGUUUUCACAAAGGCACUGCAUACCUGUCAAAUCUGAGGUGCAUAAGGUUUAAGUAACUUGGACAAAUCUCUAUCUCUAGGAAGUUACAGAAUCAAGAUCCAAAGCAUAAGUAUACCUGUUGAUAAGACCAUACAGGCCUUUGGAGCCUACUGAGAAGAGAGUAAGUUACCCAAGUAAGUUA
rnacentral:lncRNA from 10 species